rnacentral:lncRNA from 1 species
GACCACCCAGGAGCUUGGCUGCGCCUGCUGCAGUCUGCGUUUCUGAUAAAUUGAAACCAGUUUUAAUUCUUCUGCCCGGGAGACCUAACCGCCGAAUGCGUUCGGAGCUGUACUGGAACCCAAGGAGAUGUUCACAAGGAAGAUGGAAAGUAAGCUGUGUAACAUCAGCAUUGGGAGCAAGAGCCACAAACCUCAUUUUCAAGUUGGGAAGAAACUCAGGACCCGAGAAGCUACAGGAUUCAGCCCAGUCACAGAGCUUGGCUGCCAUCCAUGUAAGAUGUAACUUGCUCUUCCUUGCCUUCCCAGCCAUAUGAAACUGUGUGUAUUUGUUCAUUCGCGCACUGCUAUAAAGAAAUACCUGAGACUGGGUAAUUUAUAAAGAAAAGAAGUUAAUUGACUCAGUUCUGCAGGCAAUACAGGAAGCAAGAUGCUGUCAUCCGCUUGGCUUCAGGUGAGAGCUCAGGAAACUUACAAUCAUGGCAGAAGGUGAAGGGGAAGCCAUCACUUUUCAUAUGGCUGGAGAAGGACAAAGAGAGUGAAGGGGGAGGUGCUAUACACUUUUAAACAAACAGAUCUCAUGAGAACUCACUCACCAUUACCUGAGAAGAUGAUGCUAAACCAUUCAUGAAGGAUCUAUCCCCAUGAUUCAAUCACCUCUCACCAUGCCCCACCUCCAACACCGGGGAUUACAAUUCAACAUGAGAUUUGGAUGGGGACACAGAUACGAAUCGUGUCAAGCUGCAUCUAAGUUACCGCAAAGGCAUGAUUUCAUUCUUUGUAUGGCUCUAUAGUAUUCCAUAGUGUGGAUGUACCACAUUUUGUUUAUCGAAUCCACCAUUGUUGGGCACCUAUGUUGGUUCUAUGUCUUUGCUAUUGUGAAUAGUGCUGCAAUGAACAUACAGAUACGUGUGUCUUUUUGGUAGAACAAUUUAUUUUUCUUUGGUAUACACCAAGUAAUGGGAUUGCUCAGUUGAAUGGAAGUUCUCUUUCUAAUUCUUUGAGAAAUCUCCAAACUACUUUCCACAGUGUCCUUUGGCCAAUCUUUAACAGUAGAUCUGCUAGCUGCAAACUCUUGUAGUUCUCCUUCCUUUCAGAAUGUCUUUAUUUCCUCUUCAUUCCUGAAGGACAGUUUCACAUGAUAUAAAAUUCAUGGUUGAUAGCUCUUUUCUUUCAGUACUUGAAAAAUGUUUUGCCACUUCCUUCUCACUUCCUUGUUUUCUGAUGAGAAAUCUACUGUCACGGCUAACCGGUUUUCCCAGCACCAUUUAUUAAAUAGGGAAUCCUUUCCCCAUUGCUUGUUUUUGUCACGUUUGUCAAAGAUCAGAUGGUUGUAGAUGUGUGGUGUUAUUUCUGAGGCCUCUGUUCUGUUCCAUUGGUCUAUAUAUCUGUUUUGGUGCCAGUACUAUGCUGUUUUCGUUACUGUAGCCUUGUAGUGUAGUUUGAAGUCAGGUAGCGUCAUGUCUGCAGCUUUGUUCUUUUUGAUUAGGAUUGUCUUGACUAUACGGGCUCUUUUUUGGUUCCAUAUGAAAUUUAAAUUAGCUUUCUCCAGUGAAGAAAGCUAAUGGUAGUUUGAUAGGAAUAGCAUUGAAUGUCUAAAUUGCUUUGGGAAGUAUGGCCAUUUUCACAAUACUGAUUCUUCCUAUCCAUGAGGAUGGAAUGUUUUCUUCAUUUGUUUGUGUCCUCUCUUGUUUCCUUGAGCAGUGAUUUGUAGUUCUCCUCUAAGAGAUCUUCAGGUCUCUUGUAAGCUGUGUUCCUAGGUAUUUUAUUUUCUCUGUAGCCAUUGUGAAUGGGAAUUCACUCAUGAUUUGGCUCUAUGCUUGUCUAUUAUUGGUGUAUUCGAAUGCUUGUGAUUUUUGCACAUUGAUUUUGUAUCCUGAGACUUUGCUGAAGUUGUUUAUCAGCAAAAGCAAUGGCAACAAAAGCCAAAAUUGACAAAUGGGAUCUAACUAAACUAAAGAGCUUCUGCUCAGCAAAAGAAACUAUCAUUAGAGAAAACAGGCAUCCUACAGAGUGAGAGAAAAUUUUUGCAAUCUAUCUAUCUGACAAAGGUCUAAUAUCCAGAAUCUACAAGGAACUUAAACAAAUUUACAAGGAAAAAACAAAUAACCCCAUCAAAAAUAGGACAAAGGAUAUGAACAGACACUUCUCUAAAGAAGACAUUUAUGCGACCAACAAACAUGAAAAAAUGCUCAUCAUCACUGGUCAUUAGAGAAAUGCAAAUCAAAACCACAACGAGAUACCAUCUCACGCCAGUUAGAAUGGUGAUCAUUAAAAAGUCUGGAAACAACAGAUGCUGGAAAGGAUGCGGAGAAAUUGGUAUGCUUUUACAUUGUUGGUGGGAGUGUAAAUUAGUUCAACCAUUGUGGAAGACAGUGUGGCAAUUCCUCAAGGAUCUAGAGCUAGAAAUACCAUUUGACCCAGCAAUCCCAUUACUGGGUAUAUACCCAAAGGAUUAUAAAUCAUUAUACUAUAAAGGCACAUGCACACAUAUGUAUAUUGCAGCACUCAAAAUUCUUUUAAGGAGAAGUUUCCACUUUCCUUAUCGUUGUAUACGCUUCCCUCUUUUAAUUACAUGUUGAGUCCUUCCCUCAUUUAGGCUUGAGAAAAAUGUCCUUAAGUGUCCUAAACUUGCAUUAAACCCACUUACUCAUCAAACCCCACUUAUGACUUCCCUUAGAGGACAAGAGACAUUUCAGCUCAGUUAUAUACUGCUGUUCUCAAUUCCUGCCAUUUUUUUUCCUCUUCCUUUGACCUGCUGGCCUAGGUCUCCAGCUCACUGAAAACAGCCUCCCCUGAUGAGCACACCAUUGUUAUGUAAUAGCCUAACCCUUACCCCUCGCCUAUCAGGGGGUGCCAAGCCUGCAGACUCACUCUGCUUUCCUCAUAACUGCCCUGAGGAGAAGGCUGAAGACUGAGGAAUCCUCUUUCUGCCUCCCAUUUGACUGCAUUUUCUUUGGUCAGAGUCUCCCUUAUUCAUGGGACCUGCCUGGGUCCAGGACCCCUUGACAGGUGCUCUCUGGCUGCCUGUCCUCUGGGCACUCUUGUCCCAGGUCUAUUGUUUUCAUGACCCACCAGGAUGGCGCUUCACUUCCUCAGAAAUUGUGAUCCCCAGGAAAGUGCCCCACAGGAGGGGUGGAGUUGAGAUGCCAGACCAGCUCUCUUACAGCAUGCAUUUCCGGGGCCGAAGACACGUGAUUCACAUGAAGCUCAAGAAGAACAUGAUGCCCAGACAUUUACCUGUUUUUACUAAUAAUGACCAAGGGGCCAUGCAGGAGAACUACCCUUUUGUCCCACGAGACUGUUACUACGAUUGCUACCUGGAAGGGGUUCCUGGGUCUGUGGCCACAUUGGACACCUGCCGUGGAGGUCUGCGUGGCAUGCUGCAGGUGGAUGACCUGACUUAUGAAAUCAAACCCCUGGAGGCUUUUUCCAAAUUUGAGUAUGUAGUAUCUCUGCUUGUGUCAGAAGAAAGACCAGGAGAGGUCAGUAGAUGUAAGACUGAAGGGGAAGAGAUAGAUCAAGAAUCUGAAAAGGUAAAACUGGCUGAAACUCCCAGAGAAGGCCACGUUUAUUUGUGGAGGCAUCAUAGAAAAAACUUGAAACUUCACUACACAGUUACUAAUGGAUUAUUCAUGCAGAACCCUAAUAUGUCACACAUAAUAGAGAAUGUAGUGAUUAUUAACAGCAUCAUACAUACCAUUUUCAAACCAGUUUAUUUAAAUGUCUAUGUACGUGUUUUGUGCAUAUGGAAUGAUAUGGAUAUAGUAAUGUAUAACAUGCCUGCCGACCUGGUUGUAGGAGAGUUUGGUUCGUGGAAAUAUUAUGAAUGGUUUUCACAAAUUCCACAUGAUACCUCAGUUGUUUUUACAUCAAAUUGACUUGGAAACAGUGAGUGUUAUGCCAGCUUUGACGGAAUAUGCAACCCCAACUGGGGAGCAAUGUUUGUGUAUAUAAUGAGGUAUCACCUAUUUAGGGGGGCAUGUGUUACAGCACAUGCACUAGGUCAUAACAUGGGCUUGAGACAUGAUUCUGUUGGUUGUUAUUGUUUUCGACGAACCAACUAUCUCAUGGCUCCUGUUCCUGAUCUUAAUGAUAUGAUGAGCAAUUGUUCUUAUGAGAUAAUUCAACGCAAGUUUAAUCAAUGGGAUCCUUGUUUGAGUGCUCCAAAUUUUCCAUACCUAAUUUUCCAUACGUAGCUCCUCGUUGUGGAGACAAUAUCAAAAAUCAGAGGGAAGAAUGUGACUGUGGCUCCCUUAAAGAUUGUGCCAGUGAUAGAUGUUGUGAGACCUCUUGUACCCUUUCUCUUGGCAGUGUUUGCAAUACAGGACUUUGCUGCCAUAAGUGUAAAUAUGCUGCCCCUGGAGUGGUUUGCAGAGACUUGGGUGGUAUAUGUGAUCUACCAAAAUACUGUGAUGGGAAAAAGGAAGAGUGUCCAAAUGACAUCUACAUCCAGGAUGGAACCCCAUGUUCAGCAGUAUCUGUUUGUAUAAGAGGAAACUGCAGUGACCGUGAUAUGCAGUGUCAAGCCCUUUUUGGCUACCAAGUGAAAGACGGUUCCCCAGCGUGCUAUCAAAAAUUGAAUAGGAUUGGUAACUGAUUUGGAAACUGUGGGGUUAUUCUACGGCGAGGGGGAAGUAGACCUUUUCCAUGUGAAGAAGAUGAUGUUUUCUGUGGAAUGUUGCACUGUAGCGGUGUCAGCCACAUUCCCGGUUGAGCUGAGCACACUACAUUUCGUAAUAUAUUAGUACACGACAUAAAAGAAGAAAAAUGCUUUGGCUAUGAAGCACACCAGGGGACAGACUUGCCAGAAAUGGGGCUGGUAGUGGAUGGUGCAACCUGUGGCCCAGGGAGCUACUGUCUUAAACACAAUUGUACUUCUUAUCAAGACCUGCAUUUUGAGUGUGAUCUUAAAACAUGCAAUUACAAAGGAGUAUGUAACAACAAAAAACAUUGUCACUGUCUGCAUGGGUGGCAACCACCAACAUGUGAACUGAGAGGAAAAGGAGGUAGUAUAGAUAGUGGCCCUCCACCUGACAAACAAUAUCGUAUUACAGCCAGCACACUUGCGAAUAUAAACUGAGCACUACUUUUAAUAUUUACUCGUUGCAUCCUUUUUCUGGUUUCACUUCUCUUUGGUGGCUUUUCACAAGCAAUAGAAUUUAUGGAAGAGAAAAUAAUGAAAACUACUGAACCUAAUGAGUAAAUACUAAUGGAAGCCCACACAAUGGAGAAAAUCACGUUGACACUUACUGGGAGUUAUAAUCAAUAGUCACUCUGACGGUUACAUCACCUUUUAGCAAUUCUGAUGUCAUCUUGAAGUAAAAUCACUUGGCAAUUUAAAAAGGGUCUGUGUGUUUAAAUUUACUUCACAUUUCAUGUGUGGUCGUAUUCUCAAUACUUCUAUAGAUGACGGCAGAAACUCUUAGAUUCACUAACAAGAGGACCUGUACUCAUUUAAGAUUUGGGGCUAAUGUUUUCUAGAUACCCCUGUGGCAAAUCCCGUGUACACUAAUAUACAUUUGUUCACACUCUUAAUUUCCUUUUUUUUUUUUUUUGAGGCAAGGUCUCACUCUGGUGCAUAGGCUGCCAGGCUGGAAUGCAGUGGCACAAUCUCGGCUCACUGCGACCUCUGCAUCCCGGAUUCAAGCAAUUCUCCCACCUAAACUUCCUGAGUAUCUGGGAUUACAGGCACGCGUCACCACGCCAGAUUAAUUUUUUGUAUUUGUAGUAGAGACAGGGUUUCACCAUCUUGGCCAGGCUGGUCUCAAACUCCUGGCCUCAAGUGAUUCAUCCACCUUGGCCUCCCAAAGUUCUGGGCACUUGGUACACGCUGUCUGCUAUCAUUUUCAUUAUUCUCAUGAUUUUUGCAUUAUGCUAAGCCUGGGGAAUCCCAUAUGUAAUGUCUCUGGCUUUUUGUCUUUACUGUUACAGAAAGGAUCGUUAUUCACUGUUAAAUCACUUCUCAGUUUCUCUGGAUAUAAAGGUAUGGGAUCUCAUAUUUAAAAUCUCCAAUAAUUGGCUAAGC